rnacentral:lncRNA from 1 species
CACAGCUCCUCCAUCUAGAAACCUGGCAGCCGUCCCAGCUGGAUGCCACCUGCCAACACUUUUCUGAAGACCAGCCAGAGGAGGAAAGAACAGAAGGGCUGCGGGCUGAGGAGGGAGGGAAGAGAAGACGCACAACGAAUUGCGUUGGCCUUUAGCCCCCUUCGAUCUCAUGCUCCCAGAGUUAUGAAGAAGUGGGAACACCCCACUGGCUGGAAUGGUGGCCUCCCAUGCAGAAGAGGGACCUUGCAGGGAAAAGUGACCCCACAGCAGCUGGAGCUAAGAGGGGAAACUAUCCAAGGAGACGAGACGCCAGCGAGGACAGCCAGCUCUAGUCCACCAACGAGACCUCCCCAGGGGAGAGUGACUUCAAGUUCUCUGCUCUCCCACAAAGAAGUUGGGGACCAAAGAGAAACAUUCCGAACAUUGGAUGCUGUCUGUGGUCCUUAACAUGGGUGGCCUGGUUCACCAGAGAUGGAACAAUUUUGUCUGGGGGAGAAUUUUCCAGUCCCAGCUGAACACAUUCUCCAACCCAGGAGCAUUCUGACCUCUUUGUUUUCCCUGCCUCUCGCAUGAAAGAAGAUACCUGCCAGCAAUUUCCUGUGCUGACAGAUUAGGAACAAAGCCUCUGAGCUCAAGGGCAAAUGGGAGAACUGGCUGGACCAGGCUGGUCAUUUGGGAAGACUAAUGGCUACAGAGCACCUGCUGAAGAUAUCACCUGGUUAUUUAAAAAACCUUUGUGCAGUUCAAUGAGCCAAAUGGGAGUUCUCGCGGAGGACAAGGAACUAUUCAUUUCUCUCAGGUUUAAGUUUUCCGAAGAGCCCUUUUUAGAAGAGGGCCCCUCUAUUUUGCAAGCACUAAAUCCUCCUGGUGACUUCGGUGAAAGAGACACGAACUAACUGAUGAAGCAAAUGUAUUUCAGAUGGAAGGUAAUGGCUCUUGGAAUGGAAUGCCUGGUAAACAUCUGGUGUCCUUUUAUCUUGAAUGAACAUCUGUCUCCCUUGGUUAAUAGAUUACACCUGUUGACCAACCAAACCUCUCGCUACGUCCAAAUGAGGGUGAAAAUACUGAUGUCAAGGUCCUACCCCUAGAAACAGAUCCUAAUAUGAUCUCUUGGGUUUGGCCUGGGCUUAGG